rnacentral:lncRNA from 1 species
UGACUUAUGGUGGUGAUAAUGAGGUGGAGGUGGUGAGUUAUACUUGUAAAUAGUUGGAGGAGGUGGUGAGUUGUAGUGGCAAGGAUGAGAUGGUGGUGGUGGUGACUUGUAAUGGUAGGGGUGAUGAUGAUGGUGGUGGUGAGGAGGUGGUGGUGACUUGUGGUGGUAAAGAGGUGGUGGUGGUGGUGAUUUGUGUAUGUAAGUAGGAGGUGGUGGAGGUGGUGAAUUGUAAUGGUAGGGGGGGAGUUGAUGGUAAGGUGGUGGUGGUGGUGAUUUAUACUUAUAAAGAGGAGGAGGUGGAGGUGGUGACUUGUAAUAGUAGGGUGGAAGUUGAUGUUGAGGAGGUGGUGGUGAUUUAUACUUAUAAAGAGGAGGAGGAGGUGGUGGUGGUGACUUAUAAUGGUAGGGUGGAAGUUGAUGGUAAGGAGGUGGUGGUGAUGACUCAUGGUAGUGAAGAGGAGGUGGUGGUGGUGAUUUAUACUUGUAAAUAGGAGGUGGAGGUGGUGACUUGUAAUGGUAGGGGGGGAAUUGAUGGUGAGAAGGGGGUGGAGGUGACUUGUAGUGGUAAAGUGGUGGAGGUGGUGACUUGUAGAGGUAAUG